AGGGUUUGAUCCUGGCUCAGAUUGAACGCUGGCGGUAUGCUUAACACAUGCAAGUCGAACGGAAACGAUGGUAGCUUGCUACCAGGCGUCGAGUGGCGGACGGGUGAGUAACGCGUAGGAAUCUACCUGAUAGUGGGGGAUAGCCCAGAGAAAUCUGGAUUAAUACCGCAUAAUCUCUAUGGAGUAAAGUGGGGGAUCUUCGGACCUCACGCUAUCAGAUGAGCCUGCGUAAGAUUAGCUAGUUGGUGAGGUAAAAGCUCACCAAGGCGACGAUCUUUAGCUGGUCUGAGAGGAUGAUCAGCCACACUGGGACUGAGACACGGCCCAGACUCCUACGGGAGGCAGCAGUGGGGAAUAUUGGACAAUGGGCGCAAGCCUGAUCCAGCAAUACCGCGUGUGUGAAGAAGGCCUGAGGG
rnacentral:rRNA from 1 species